AUGGACUCUCUGUAUCUGUGAUGCUUUUUUCCCAAGACGUAUCUGAUGCAGAUGUAACUACAAUUUCAGGAGGAAUAGCUAAAAUCAUCUUUAUCUACUCUAAGAUAGAUGGACACAACAUGCUGGAAUAACUCAGGAACUGAUCCUGAAUCUAUUGAACAUUGGAAAAUGAUCACCAAUGCAUCCACUAUUUCUAGAGCCACCUCCCUGAGGACCCUGGGAUGCAGACCAUCAGGCCCAGAGGAUUUAUCAUCCUUCAAUGAGAAAAUGAAAAGGUGAUGGAAUUCUUCUUCAGACUUUAUCUACUCUACAGUUUCUUAAUUUCAUCUUGGAAUAAGAACCCUGUAUUUGCCUGUCCACCAAAAUAACCAAACAACCACAUCCUUGGGAUCAUUCUGGUAAAUCUUUUGCACCUCUCAUAGGCUUUCACAUUAUUUCUAAAGUGCUGCCCCAGUGCAGUUCUAAAGUUCAAGAUAACCCCAGAUUUAACCUCUGCUUGUAUUAUCAAAGCCAAGUUUGUGCACUUUAUUAGCUUUGUUCUCAACCUGUCCUGCUAUUAUAAAUGAUUUACGUGAUCCAGGUCUUACCCUCUUCCUGCCUACCCUUUGGAAGUGUGUCCUGUAUAUUGGCUCAGAACGUCUUCUCACUGACAUGCUGCUGCACAAGCACGACAGCUUUCUCCAAAGAGUUAUCAAGUUUGCCUUGUGUGCAUGAGUGGAUGACGCAGUCAACCUAGGCCUGUACUUCAUCCUCCAGCACCUAGACCACCAGGGGACCUAUGCAAGGAUUUUUCAGCUCUGCAUUCAACACCAUUGUGCCAGAGCUACUACACUCCAAAUUCUCCCAGUUGACUGUGCCUGAACCCCUCUGCCAGUGGAUCAUCAACUUCCUGACAGACAGGAAGCAGCAUGUGAGACUGUGAAAGCACAUCUCGGACCCGCUGACCCUCAGCAUAGGAGCACCGCAAGGCUGCGUACUCUCCCCUCUCCUUUACUCACUCUACACCAACGACUGCACCUCCACAGACUCCUCUGUCAUUCUUCUCAAGUUUGCGGAUGACGCAACCCUAAUUGGACUGAUCCAGGAUGGGGGAUGAAUCUGCCUAAAGACAGGAAGUGACACAGCUGGCGUCCUGGUACCAUCGCAACAACCUGGAGCUCAAUGCUCUUAAGAGCUCCCCCAACUCGCCAUCAACAACACCACAGUCACAUCUAUGGAAUAAUUUAAGUUCCUUGGAACCAUCAUCUCCAGGGACCUUAAAUGGGAGGCUACCAUCGACUCCACUGUCAAAAAGGUCCUAACAGAGGAUGUACUUCCUGCGGCAGCUGAGAAAACACAAUCCGCCACAGGCAAUGAUGGUCCAGUUUUAUACCUCCAUCGUAGAGUCUGUCCUCACCUUCUCCAUCAUGGUCUGGUUUGGCUCAGCCACCAAGCAUGACAUCCGGAGGCUGCAGCGCAUCAUUCGAUCAGCCGAGAAGGUUGUUGGCCUCAACCUUCCCCCCAUCGACGAACUGUACAUUGCAAGGGUCAGGAAUAGAACGGGUAAGAUCAUCUCUGACCCCUCUCAACCUGGCCACAAACUCUUUGAAGCACUUCCCUCUGGAAGGCGACUCUGCUGUCAAAACCGCCAGUCAGACAUAAAAACAGCUUUUUUCCACGAGCAGUAGCGCUGCUCAAUAACCAAAAGUCUGUAGCCUCCUUUUUGCUCUGGUAUUUUAUUUCAUUCUUCACAUGUUUAAAUUGCAAUGUUUUAUUUUUAAUUGUUUACUGUAUAUCAUGUUGUUACUUGCGAGCAAAGCACCAAGGCAAAUUCCUUGUAUGUAUACAUACUUGGCUAAUAACAUUUCUUCAAAAAAUGUAUUCAAUUAUUCAAUUCAAUUCAAUUUGCUGAGAGAAGCCAGUUUUGUUUAUACUCCAAAAAUAGACACAAAGCG